AUACAGAGGGGGCAAGCGUUGUUCGGAAUUACUGGGCGUAAAGGGCGCGUAGGCGGCCUCCUAAGUCGAACGUGAAAUCCCUGGGCUCAACCCAGGAACUGCGUCCGAUACUGGUUGGCUUGAAUCCGGGAGAGGGAUGCGGAAUUCCAGGUGUAGCGGUGAAAUGCGUAGAUAUCUGGAGGAACACCGGUGGCGAAGGCGGCAUCCUGGACCGGCAUUGACGCUGAUGCGCGAAAGCCAGGGGAGCAAACG
rnacentral:rRNA from 1 species